AACACAUGCAAGUCGAACGGGGUGUUUAUUUCGGUAAACACCAAGUGGCGAACGGGUGAGUAACGCGUAAGCAAUCUACCUUCAAGAUGGGGACAACACUUCGAAAGGGGUGCUAAUACCGAAUGAAUGUAAGAGUAUCGCAUGAGACACUUACUAAAGGAGGCCUCUGACAUAAGCUUCCGCUUGAAGAUGAGCUUGCGUCUGAUUAGCUAGUUGGUGAGGGUAAAGGCCCACCAAGGCGACGAUCAGUAGCCGGUCUGAGAGGAUGAACGGCCACAUUGGGACUGAGACACGGCCCAGACUCCUACGGGAGGCAGCAGUGGGGAAUCUUCCGCAAUGGGCGAAAGCCUGACGGAGCAACGCCGCGUGAACGAAGAAGGUCUUAGGAUCGUAAAGUUCUGUUGUUAGGGACGAAGGGUAAGAAUCAUAAUAAGGUUUUUAUUUGACGGUACCUAACGAGGAAGCCACGGCUAACUACGUGCCAGCAGCCGCGGUAAUACGUAGGCGGCAAGCGUUGUCCGGAAUUAUUGGGCGUAAAGGGAGCGCAGGCGGGAAACUAAGCGGAUCUUAAAAGUGCGGGGCUCAACCCCGUGAUGGGGUCCGAACUGGUUUUCUUGAGUGCAGGAGAGGAAAGCGGAAUUCCCAGUGUAGCGGUGAAAUGCGUAGAUAUUGGGAAGAACACCAGUGGCGAAGGCGGCUUUCUGGACUGUAACUGACGCUGAGGCUCGAAAGCUAGGGUAGCGAACGGGAUUAGAUACCCCGGUAGUCCUAGCCGUAAACGAUGGAUACUAGGUGUGGGAGGUAUCGACCCCUUCCGUGCCGGAGUUAACGCAAUAAGUAUCCCGCCUGGGGAGUACGGCCGCAAGGUUGAA
rnacentral:rRNA from 1 species